rnacentral:sRNA from 1 species
GCCAGGUGUAGUGGUGCAUGCCUGUAAUCCCAGUGGCUUGGGAGGUUGAGGCAGGAGGAUCUCAGGUUUGAAACCAGCCUCUA